GUUGGCGGGAUCCGGGGCCUUGGGCCCCGCCCACUAGGCAGGGCCACGCCUAGUGGGCGGGGGCCGAGGAGCUUGGGCGUUGAGGGGCACGGCCAGAAGGGAGCUGAGGACCUCCCUUGAAAGGGGGCGUGGUGCCGGCUCUAGAAGAUCUACCGGCCUAGAACACCUGGGCACAACUCCAGCAGCACUUUCGUCUUUCCAGCCUUGUUCCGGCCUCGUUCCAGACGCCUGGUUUGAUAGGACUGUUACUGCUCCAGAUUUGAAGACCCUCCCCAUCUGCACUUCCUCCCUUUACUUCCCCAGGAGUGGAGAUAUUCUGGGACCAGACAGUGCUGGAACCCUGCUUCUUUCCUUUGCCCCCCAAACAUCCCGGAUGGCCCUGGCUUCUGCCAGGGAGAAGCUGCCACUCACUUGGUGAGGUAUGCAAAUGGAGGCACCUGAGAUGACAUAAUUUAACAAAACUGCACAGGUAAGAAGUGGCAUCAGCAGACUCCAACAUACGGUAUCAUGCUUCACCCAAGACUCUCAGAGCCCAUUGUUCUCCCCCAAGUGCCACCAUCCCUACAGCCAACCAACCCUGCACCCGCCUGAGCUGAUGCAGACGUCAGGACACCUCCAGACCUGGACCUCUAACCCCUCCUCUAGACUUGGAGCUCACAGCCCGAGGCUGUAUGUAAGCAGAACUGGGCGGUUUCCAUCCCAGGUACUCCUUGGAGGCCAGCAGGACCACUUAAGUAUUGGCCCACCAGCGACCAGUAAUGUGGUCGCUGCACCACUUUGGCCAGAGCAUCCUGGAGCUUCUGGAAUCCUGCCUGUGGAUCUGAGGGUUUCCACCCCAGGAGAAAUUCUGGGAGAGAGUUUGAAGGUGAGGGAGGACUCGUCGGAACUGGGUACCCUGUCUGUUCCCCAGGUAAUGCUAACUUUGGAGGGCAAAGACCCGGGGUCAGUGAGAGGGGGUGUGGAGGAGACGGAAGUUAACUGUCAGUACAGCAGUGUCCACGGAGCAGAGAGGAAUAUGGCUCUCCGUCCUGUUCCCAGUACUGGCCAGGACACAUCUCAUGAUUCCAGGCAAGAGUAGCAGCUCCCAGAGCCCUGAACAGCACUGCUCACCACUCCUCAUCAUCCUCACCAGCCUGGAUGCCUCCUUCUCAAUGUCCAACAGCGCUAGCGGCCAACCUGCCAGGUUCAAUGCCUGGCUCUCCUCCACCACUGAUUUUCUUUUACCAAGAAGCCAAAUUCACCAGUGGGCCCCAGAGGCAGAAGUUCUACAUGGGGAAACUGAGGCAGUGGUUAACCAGACAGUCCCCUGACCCCUGUUUCCAUGGUGAAUGGUUCUGCCAAGGGCUUACUGUACGGACUCAUAAUGGAAGACAUUUUAUUCUCUGCGAGGAACUUUUAAGUUCCUAAAAGCCAGAUUCAUGUCCAUACUCCCAGCACCUACUACAGAUGCUCAAGAAAGAUGUAGAAUGAAUGUGGAAUUAUUUAACCCCCAUGUACCUGGGAAGGGGAAAUCUGAGGGCUCAUCAGGGCCUCAUAUGGACAUUCUAUUAACCUUUAAGACAUUUGACCACUGGGGCCCAGGGUGAUAAUCACAGGGACUUCCAGAGAAGAGGGCUCCGCCAGCCUCUGUUCCUAGUGUUUGGGGGACAGAGAGACCUGGGUUUGAAUCCCUGUUUUUGCUUACAUGAACUCAGUACUUUUGGGCAAGUUAUUCAGUUCCUAUGGGAUGGGAAGUGCCUAGUGGAGGUGUUCCAUGAGACAGUUUUUGACAUAUUGUCAUACCAGAUGGAGAGAAUCUUUACUCAUGUUCUGAGAUCUCAAGAGAAGAAAUUCUAGUCUUCAGUAUCCGCAAGCCUUCACUGAGUACCUGCUAGGUGUGAAGUGAAGUGCUAGGUGCUGGAAAAGCAGCAAGAAAUAUGAUCUUAUCUCUUUUCUCAGGUGGCUCAUACUCUGCUUGAGGAGGCAAAACAUAAGCACUGAAAAGCAAAAUCCCAACCCAACGCAACCAACAACAAGAGAAAACAUAGGUUCUAUAAAAGUAGCAGCAAAUGGGUGGUACCUCGCUAUAGGACAGAGGCGGGGGGACCCUUGUCUUGGAAGGACAUGGGAUAACUUUGUCCGGGCAGGCUUUCUGCUCAGAAUUCAUUGUCCCGUCAAAAAGUGCUUACUCUGGCUUAAUAUUUUAACACUCAUUCAUUUCAUUUAAUAAAUAUUCAUUGUCUUUUUCUUCCCAGGUACUGUGUUGGGUGGAAACGUGUGGUUUCUGCACUCAAGAAGCUUACAGAGCCCUGGCUGGUGUGGCUCAGUGGAUUGAGCACUAGCUUGCAAACCUGGGUUGACUGUUUGAUUCAGUCAAGGCACAUGCCUCGGUUGCAGCCCAGGUCCCUAGUAGGGGGUUUGUGCAAGAGGCAACCACACAUUGAGGUUUCCCUCUCUUUCGCCUUCCCUUUCCCUCUCUAAAAUAAUAAAUAAGUAAGUAAAAUCUUUUUUUUCUUUAAAAAGAAACUUACAGAGAUCGACACUGAACCAUAAAUAGUAAAUGUAAAUUUGUAUAUUUACAAAUUGUUAUCAGGAUCAAUAAAAGCA